UACGGGGGGAGCAAGCGUUGUUCGGAUUUACUGGGCGUAAAGGGCGCGUAGGCGGCCACCGCAAGUCGGUUGUGAAAUCUCUGGGCUUAACCCAGAAAGGUCAACCGAUACUGCGGGGCUAGAGUGCAGAAGGGGCAACUGGAAUUCUCGGUGUAGCGGUGAAAUGCGUAGAUAUCUGGGGGAAGGCCGGCGGCGAAGGCGCCAUUCUGGGAAAUUCCUGACACUGAGGCACGAAAGCGUGGGGAGCAAACAGG
rnacentral:rRNA from 1 species